AACGCGAAGAACCUUACCUGGGCUCGAACGGCUUCGGACAAUCCUUGGAAACAGGGACUUCCCGCAAGGGACUGGAGUCGAGGUGCUGCAUGGCUGUCGUCAGCUCGUGUCGUGAGAUGUUGGGUUAAGUCCCGCAACGAGCGCAACCCUUGUCCUGUGUUGGCAUGCCGCAAGGCGCAACUCUCAGGAGACCGCCAGCGAUAAGCUGGAGGAAGGUGGGGAUGAGGUCAAGUCAGCAUGGCCUUUAUGUCCAGGGCUACACACGUGUUACAAUGCGCGCCACAAAGCGUUGCAAACCCGCGAGGGGGAGCUAAUCGCAAAAAAGCGCGCUCAGUUCGGAUUGCAGUCUGCAACUCGACUGCAUGAAGCCGGAAUCGCUAGUAAUGGCGCAUCAGAACGGCGCCGUGAAUACGUUCCCGGGCCUUGUACACACCGAGACGAC
rnacentral:rRNA from 1 species